ACAGCUCAGUGGUGGAGCAUCAGCUUUACAUGCAUAAGAUCCUGGGUUCAAUCCCCAGCAUCUCUA